rnacentral:lncRNA from 1 species
GUAGGGGUUCCGCUUGCCUGGGCCCUGGGCUAUGCAGAGGGAGACACGAACCAGGGGCUGGAGCUCUGUUUUCAGGCCACCUGACCAGCUGAGGAGAUCGUCAGAAAGGCUGGGACACCAACGGAUGACGCACAAAUGGAGGAAUUUUCAGGCACGGUCAAAGCUAAUGGGAGGGAAAAUACUGAAGUGUAAUAUUCCAGAGUUCUCUCUUGUCUGCUCUGACUCCUGCCAGCUGCCCUGCACCUAGAGGGACAGGAGGCUCUUCUCCGGGGCAUUGCAUGGCCGGGAGCCAAAUGAGCUGGCACCAGAACCUGGAACCCUCUCUUUGGGUCUGGAUUGGGACCCCUUUCCAGUACCAUUUUUUCUAGUGAACCACGAAGGGACGAUACCAGAAAACACCCUCAACCCAAAGGAAAUAGACUACAGCCCCAAUUGGCUGACUUAAGCUAUAGAAAAAAGAAAGGAACGAAAAGAGACAGUUUUUUUUGGAAAGCUAAGUCUUCCCUUUAUCGAGUCAAGAAACCCCCCCUUCUUGAGCUAUUUACAGCUUUUAACAAUUGAGUAAAGUACGCUCCGGUAAGGAUUAUAAAACAAAGUUUUGUCCAAAAACAAAAUUUGGAAUAUGUUUUUUUCUCUUUACCUGAUUUCUGCAGAAUUUGGAAACUAUUUGUGAGUGUUCUUAACUUACGGCAAUAUAGUUAUUUGCAUAAGUGCAGUAAGAAUCUGUUUUUCCUUCUUUCUUCUUUUUUUUUUUUUGUAACAGGACACAAUUGGAGAAACUGGUUAUUUAACAAGGGUUUGACUCGAGUGGCAUGCUUUCAAAUAUAAACAGACUUCUUUAAGGAAUUAAAGUUGACUAAUAGAGCCAAUAAAAGCCUCUUGGAAAAACUGGUCUUGUACCUUGUGUAUGAAGUCCCUGUAUAGGGUUCCUGACCUGUGGUAAGUAAAGAAUGUAACUUUCUGACAGGCCUGGGAGCCCCGAGUUAUCUCGGGACCUCAAGAGGAGAGGAAUUUAUCUAACUCAUACAGGUUCUUGCAGGCAUAGGUAAAUCCAUGGCUGG